rnacentral:rRNA from 1 species
CAGUAGCCACGGGAAUACGGAGGGGGCUAGCGUUGUUCGGAAUUACUGGGCGUAAAGCGCACGUAGGCGGCUUGGUAAGUUAGAGGUGAAAGCCCGGAGCUCAACUCCGGAAUUGCCUUUAAGACUGCCGAGCUAGUAGGUGAGAGAGGUAAGUGGAAUUCCGAGUGUAGAGGUGAAAUUCGUAGAUAUUCGGAAGAACACCAGUGGCGAAGGCGGCUUACUGGCUCAUUCUAGACGCUGAGGUGCGAAAGCGUGGGGAGCAAACAGGAUUAGAUACCCCCGUAGUCCCUGUCUCUUAUAC